rnacentral:rRNA from 1 species
GACGAACGCUGGCGGCGUGCUUAACACAUGCAAGUCGAACGGAAAGGCCCUGCUUUUGUGGGGUGCUCGAGUGGCGAACGGGUGAGUAACAAGUGAGUAACCUGCCCUUGACUUUGGGAUAACUUCAGGAAACUGGGGCUAAUACCGGAUAGGAACUCCUGCUGCAUGGUGGGGGUUGGAAAGUUUCGGCGGUUGGGGAUGGGCUCGCGGCUUAUCAGCUUGUUGGGGGGGUAGUGGCUUACCAAGGCUUUGACGGGUAGCCGGCCUGAGAGGGUGACCGGCCACAUGGGGACUGAGAUACGGCGCAGACGCCUACGGGAGGCAGCAGUGGGGAAUAUUGCACAAUGGGCGGAAGCCUGAGGCAGCAACGCCGCGUGCGGGAUGACGGCCUUCGGGUUGGAAACCGCUUUCGCCUGUGACGAAGCGUGAGUGACGGGAAUGGGUAAAGAAACACCGGCUAACUACGU